CCUACGGGAGGCUGCAGUAGGGAAUCUUCCACAAUGGGCGAAAGCCUGAUGGAGCAACGCCGCGUGGGUGAAGAAGGUCUUCGGAUCGUAAAACCCUGUUGUUAGAGAAGAAAGUGCGUGAGAGUAACUGUUCACGUUUCGACGGUAUCUAACCAGAAAGCCACGGCUAAAUACGUGCCAGCCGCCGCGGUAAGACGUAGGUGGCAAGCGUUAUCCGGAUUUAUUGGGCGUAAAGGGAGCGCAGGCGGUCUGUUAAGUCUGAUGUGAAAGCCGUCGGCUUAACCGGAGUAGUGCAUUGGAAACUGGGAGACUUGAGUGCAGAAGAGGAGAGUGGAACUCCAUGUGUAGCGGUGAAAUGCGUAGAUAUAUGGAAGAACACCAGUGGCGAAAGCGGCUCUCUGGUCUGUAACUGACGCUGAGGUUCGAAAGCGUGGGUAGCAAACAGGAUUAGAUACCCUAGUAGUC
rnacentral:rRNA from 1 species